GAUGAAGAACGCAGCGAAAUGCGAUACGUAAUGUGAAUUGCAGAAUUCAGUGAAUCAUCGAAUCUUUGAACGCAUAUUGCGCUCUCUGAUAUUCCGGAGAGCAUGCUUGUUUGAGUAUCAGUAAACACCUCAACUUCCAUAUCUUUUUUGAAAUGGGAGUUGGACUUGAGUGAUCCCAACGCUUUUCCUCACCGAAAAGUGGCGGGUUACUUGAAAUGCAGGUGCAGCUGGACUUUUCUCUGAGCUAUAAGCAUAUCUAUUUAGUCUGCCUAAAAAACAGAUUAUUACCUUUGCUGCAGCUAACAUAAAGGAGAUUAGUUCUUGUGCUGACUGAUGCAGGAUUCACAAAGACGGCUUCGGCCGACUUUGUAAACUCGAUCUCAAAUCAAGUAAGACUACCCGCUGAACUUAAGCAUAUCAAUAAGCGGAGGA
rnacentral:misc_RNA from 1 species